rnacentral:rRNA from 1 species
GAGGGUGUAGAGUAGGCCGGGGGAAGGGCGAGUAGGGACUUGCCUAGGCUCUGCACGCCCGUCGCCUCCGCUUCCCGCUGCCGCAGCCGCUGGACGUCCGCUUCCCGCUGCCGCCGCCGCGAACUAAACUCCGACGCAGUACCUAGCCGGGGACGACUCGCUGUUCUAACGACCUGACGGCGGUAGAGUGGAGCGGGGUGGUCGAAGGUGGCGGUACCUAGGCGGCCUCUACCUCCCGUUGCUCACUCUCCCUCGUCCUCUUCUACACUUAGCUCCCUCACUUUCUUCUUCAAGUGUGCCCUUCCCCUUCUCCCUCAGAACGCCGCAUAGGAGCAGAGUAGGACCGACGUCUAGAAAACUGCGGUACCUCGGUCGGCGAGAACGAGCUACGGUGCUAUGUGUUGUGGUUCUAAGGAAGGAAAAUGUCAAGGAAGAGCUGAACGACAAGUAGUGCAGCUACCGAAGGUACCUCGUCUCCUUUCAUACGGGAGAAGUAGAUCCGUCUCCUCGCCCUGCCGGUCCUCGACAGCAGGACGAUGGGAUACGGUUACCUACGCGGAGGGUCUACCGAUCGUUGCGGUCUAGGUCGACCUUUCCUGAGAUGCCCCCCACUCUCCACCUAUUGUUAUCGCUCUUCCUCGUACGGUAGCUCCUCACGUUCGUCGCCGUGAGGAGGCGUUACCCCAUACCGACGUCCCCUCCCCUGUGCCGGUUGCUGUCCUUCUUCCUCGUUCAGCAGCUCCUCAUGUUCGUCGUCCAAAGGACACUGACCUUCAGACUUUGACUUCUAUCCCGUAUAACAAAACCAAGACACCGGCCUCUAUAACACCGAACUAAAGGGAUCUCGUUAGCCUGGGAAGGUUCUAUCUUCUAUAAACCCUAACUGCAAGAUUACUCUUUCAUCGUAUGCCUACCUACCUGUUAACCUGUACUCGAUAGGUCACCAGCUCAACCCGAUAUAAAGAAAGUAACUCCGCUCCCACUAAAGUCAUCCACUCCACGUAAAAUCUGUAGACCUACGGAACGAUACAAGUCCGCAUGAGCGGAAAAAAGAACUUCAACCCGCAGGCAACAGAUACGCCGUUCCACUCGAAUAGGGUAAAUGAAACAAGUUAGGUCUCAGUUCUAAGUAUAGGGGAAGUGACAGUAAAGUAAACACUCGUAAAUAAGGUAACGAGAUACAACAGCCGUAGGACUGUCAAAUCUACAAAGACGCCUAGUGUUAACGAAGACUUGUGUGGCUGGGUAGAGUAACUCCUUUAAGGGGACGAGACGAAUUAAUUUUAAUUACACUUUAUACAAAGAUGGUUUUGAUUAAUGUUAAAUAAGAAAAAUCAAAGAUGACUAAAAGUCAUACUUUAUAACCCCGGGCUCAUGAAGUCAAGUAAAGUGUCACCUAUACCGUGUGUGUACAUAGUAACGACAAUAGCAUUAACUAUGGUUGUGGAACUGACUUAGCGUAUCUUAUCUGACGGGACUAUUAAGAACGUCAGGAUUUUACCAAAGAGUUUUGUACCCUUUUAAAUGUAAGAUUUUUGACAUCCGUGUGACCCACUUCGUAUAUAUAUUAAGAUAAUAUUGUCUCCAGUGUGUGUGUGUGUUAUAUAUUAAGAGAUAUACGUUUAACAAUAUUAUACUAAAAUAAUCUUAUCUCCAGUCCAUGAUGACGGUGCUGCAUUCUUCCUUCCACACUGUGGGUCAAAAUAUAUAUAACACUAAAGUCAAAAGUAGUUACAGCGAUAAUAAUAAUAAUAAUAAUAGAGAAACAUCGAAGUAUAUUUUAGUCAUGACUGUACCAGUAAAAUGUCACAUUUUUACCAUCCACCAUCUUAGUAUUGGACCCUGACUCACGGAAUUCUUCAAGGAAAGUAAUAGCAAUUUAUUAUAUUACAAAUCCCGGUCAAAUCUACGCAGCAGCCUUUUAUACUCAUUUUAGUCACUUAUAACACGUAACGGAACCACAAACCACACAGAUAACGUAUUAGGAAAAGAAAAAACGAAGAGAAAGGUUUCGUUCCUGGUCCGACCCUUGUAUACAAAUAUUACUUCAAGAAAGUAACGUCGAUGUAUCAUAGAAUCGAUCCAUAGAGACACGUUCACAUCAAACGGACGUCCAACCUGUACACAAACUUAUAUUAGGAAAAGAACGAAGAGAAAAGUUUCGUUCCUGGUCAGACUCUUGUAUACAAAUAUUACUUCAAGAAAGUAACAUCAGACGUAUCAUAGAAUCGAUCCAGAGAGGUCGUACGAUGGUGUUUUCGCCUCGGUACUACAAUACGUAUAUAGACGUAGCAGAUAGUCAGGAUCUUCAAGACUAGAAGCAGAUGGCAAUUUGGCUCAAGUAGACAGACCCAUACCGACGUGUUGAAAAAUACAUUAACCUGUAAUUUUUAAUCUCUUAAACCAACAUGACGUAGACGGUUUCGUGAUAACUUUGUUACUUACAGUCGAUACAAUACUCGGCUUGGUAUAAUUCAUACACGUAGGACCCACCUUACGAAAGACAAGUACUCGACCAGAGGGUUGUGCAUAACAACUCUUUUCUUUUCUCUUCUUUGCUUUUCUUUUCUUUCCUCGAAAAUUCAAGAAUUCUCCUCGUUCUCUCGAAGAUUCAACAUGUGUAAUCUAGAUCGAAAGAAUACGACAAACAGAUUAAUAAAAGAUGAGGGACAUAAAAGUAUAACACGAAGUUCACCCGGCCGGCUUCUUUUGCGAAACACCCGGCUUAACUCAUGGUACGCUGAUGUAGGCUUAUCUGUACGCAGAUUCAUCGUAUCUUUGUCAGAAAAAAAGUUUGUGUAAAGAAAAUAUCUUUGUGAAAAAUUUUCCCCGAAGAAUACACCAAAUAUGUACCACAAUCCAUAUACAUAUAAGCAUAAUUCGUUUUUCUUACAUAACAAAAAUGUAUCCCUACAUUUAAGAAUGGCAUGAACGAACGAGUUUGUUUUCUAACAGAUUUUUUA